CAGUUCCAGGCCUAGCCCUCUAGAAGCAUUGUGCAAUUCCACUCUGUGUCUUGGGCCUUUGCUCUGCCAUGAGAAAAAGCCCAGGCUAGCCUGCUGGAAGGUUAGAGGCUGCAUGAAAUGAAGAUAAGUCAUCUCAGCUGAGGCCAUUCUAGAUCAGUCUGUAGGUAAGAGGGUACUUGGAGAAUUUCCUGUUGAUGAUCCAUCAAGAAAGAAACUAAUCGUGCAGCAAGAAGCUCAUCAAGAUCUACUUCUUCAGCACAGCGUAACACACACCGAGAGAAAAACAGAUUGAUGGAAGACACUGGAGACCUCUUUACUUGAACUCCCUGCAGACUGAGAAGAAGACACUCAGUUGAUUUGAAGGAAUUCAGACUGUUUAAGUGAAGGAUUUUUGAAGACUGUGGAUCAUCUUGGAUUUUAUGUAUCCCACUGGGUCUAUCUGAAACUGUGACGUAGCCACAAACAACUACCAGGAAAUGAAACAAAAAUUAAGAUGCAACUGUAUGACAGUGGACAAAAAUAAAACAAAAACAAGAGUAACGUUAAAAAAACAAAGCAUCACUAUAGUACAUAUUGUUAGUAUAGUACAAAUAGCAGUUGCUUAAUUCAGAAGCCACUUAAAUAGGACACAUGCAACAUUCAGUUACAAAGUGCAAGACUCGAGGUUUUCCAACUUGUGAUGAAAAUAACUUUAAAAUUUAUUUCAACAAUCUAAUUAAAUGGAUUCAGUCAAAUACAUGAAAAAAUAUCUACUUUCAGUCUACAAGUAUUAGAAAAUUCUUAAUUAUAAGACAACUGUAGUUUAAUAAAACAUAUAUAUCAUUUUUGUUUCUGGUACCUGGUAUAGAACUCCUAAACCCCAUGGAAUUUCCAGUGACAAGAGUCUUUUGUUAUUCACAAUGAGCCUAUUAGAGCUAGCCUCAGUUUAUGCUAAUGAGGUGACUUAGGCUUAGCCCUUCUUGGAAGGUUGGAACUUUUAGCCUUACCUCAGACCUCCCUGGAGGGGGUGGUGGGGUAGUGGUGGUUGGUGGAGGUCAGACUUAGUCAACAAUGAGCAAUGAUUUAAUCAACCAUGCCUAUGUAAUGAAACCUCAGUUAAAACUCUGAAACAAAACAGCUAUGGGAGCUUACCAGUUGGUGAAUACAUGGACACGCUUGUGGGGGAUGACAUUCCUGGAGAGAACAUAGAAGCUCUGCACAACCCUUACCCCCAUUCCUUGCCCUAUAUAUCUCUUCCAUUUGGCUGUUCCUGACUUGUAUCCUUUAUAAUAAACUGGUAAUCAUUAAGUAAAGCACUUUCCAGAGUUCUGUGAGCCGUUACAGUGAAUUAUUAAACUUCAGGGGGUUGUGGGAACCCCUAACUUGGUAGUUAGCCAGGCAGAAAUGUCAGUAAACCUGAGGACCUCAUUUGCAGCUGGUGAAUGAAGUGAGGGCAGCGUUGUGGAACUGAGCCCUUGAUCUCUGGGGUCUGAGCUAGCACUGGGUAGUUAGUAUCAGAGCUGAAAGACUUUGUCCUCAACUUUUUGGGGUCUGGGUUAA